CACAGAGCCCCACUUGGGGCUUGAACCCACAAACCAUGAGAUCGUGACCUGAGCCAAAGUCAGACGCUCAACCAAUUGAACCACCCAGGUGCCCCCAUUGUUCUGUUUUAGCAUUUAACAGUUUUCCUGGGCUUCACAAGGAUCUGAAAUGUUAGAUUGUUUUUUCUAGGAUUUGAUCUAGAGUUGAGGUGGACCUUAGAAAUCAUUUGGUUUAAGGAACUCACUUUGUACAUGACUUACUGGAAACUUGGUUGAAAAAUGUAUGGCUAUCUAGAGCCUAGAACCUAACUCCAGUAUCCUUCCUGUCUUGUGUCCUCUUCUUUUUUUGUUCCCCACUCCCCAUAAGCUAACUAUAGUUAGUGGCUUAUGCCUUCCUGACUUAGUUUAUUGUUUUUCCCCUCCAUGUGAUUCUUUGCAUUGGAUGUAUUGUGAAUUUUCAUCCUCGUGUGAUAUAUAUCAUUGCACGAUUAAGGUGUUGGUGCCUCAGCCAUGCUAUGCUAAUUCCUACUUUGUCAAAUUAACAGUCAAAAGCAGGCAAAAAAACGAAGUCCUGUCGUGUAGGUCCGUUCACUUACGAAUACAAGCUUACAAGUUCCUUUUUCAUUUGAUAUUUUUACUGAGCAAAUGGUAUAUCUCAGAUGUUAACUAAGCAGCAUCUUGAUAAUUUUUCUUUCUACUGCAAAUAGUGUAAGGGAAGACCUGUUUUCAAGGGGAUCACUGUUCAAUGUAGUUAAAUUCAGGUUUGGGGGUGGUGCACACGGGGCUAUUUUCCUAUGAGGUUUCUGGCCUCGAGUUAAAAAACCCAGCAAGUGAGAUACUUAGAACUGCUUUGCUUUACACAACCGUUCUUUGUGUUGCAUUUGUAGUACCUAGCAGCCUUUUGUUCCAAGCUCUUUGAUAAACAUAACUGAGGGCCUAUUCACAGGCCACAUAAGUGUUCUUUCAUAAGAUAGCAUUUAGUUGCAUUGACCUUGAUGAUUGAGCAAGUACAACAUGAAAAUUCUAGGGAAAUUCACUUAGCUGUGCUGGAAGCCAAUGAGCUGUUCCUGUAACAAUUAAUGGUUUGUUAUAAGAGUGGGUUUUAAGCAACUUUUUUUAGGUGUAUUUAUUUUGAGAGAGCAUGCACAUGUGGGGGAGAUCAGAAGAGCGU